ensembl:misc_RNA Metazoa_SRP Metazoan signal recognition particle RNA
GCUGGGCAUGGUGGUGCACGCCUGUAAUCUGAGCUACUUCGGAGGCUGAGGCGGGAGAAUGGCUUGAACCCAGGAAGUGGAGGUUGCAGUGAGCUGAGAUCGUGCCACUGCACUCCAGCCUGGGUAACAGAGCAAGACUCCGUCUCAA